UAAUGCUUUGAUAUAGGCCUCGAUCGGU
rnacentral:piRNA from 1 species